GAGCGAACGCUGGCGGCAGGCUUAAUACAUGCAAGUCGAGCGCCUGUAGCAAUACAGGAGCGGCAGACGGGAGAGUAACACGUGGGAACGUGCCCUUUGGUUCGGAACAACACAGGGAAACUUGUGCUAAUACCGGAUACGCCCUUACGGGGAAAGAUUUAUCGCCAAAGGAUCGGCCCGCGUCUGAUUAGCUAGUUGGUGGGGUAAUGGCCCACCAAGGCGACGAUCAGUAGCUGGUCUGAGAGGAUGAUCAGCCUCAUUGGGACUGAGACACGGCCCAGACUCCUACGGGAGGCAGCAGUAGGGAAUCUUGCGCUAAUGCGCGAAAGCGUGACGCAGCGACGCCGCGUGCGGGAUGAAGGCCCUCGGGUCGUAAACCGCUUUCGGCAGGGACGAAGCGAAAGUGACGGUACCUGCAGAAGAAGUCCCGGCUAACUACGUGCCAGCAGCCGCGGUAACACGUAGGGGACGAGCGUUGUCCGGAUUCAUUGGGCGUAAAGCGCGCGUAGGCGGCUCGGAAAGUCGGUCGUGAAAUCCUGGGGCUCAACCCCGGAACUGCGUCCGAUACUUCCGAGCUGGAGGCAGGUAGGGGAGAUCGGAAUUCCUGGUGUAGCGGUGAAAUGCGCAGAUAUCAGGAGGAACACCGGUGGCGAAGGCGGAUCUCUGGGCCUUGCCUGACGCUGAGGCGCGAAAGCUAGGGGAGCGAACAGGAUUAGAUACCCUGGUAGUCCUAGCCGUAAACGUUGGGUGCUAGGUGUGGGCGGAUAUCGACCCCGUCCGUGCCGAAGCUAACGCAUUAAGCACCCCGCCUGGGGAGUACGGCCGCAAGGCUAAAACUCAAAGGAAUUGACGGGGGCCCGCACAAGCGGCGGAGCAUGCGGCUUAAUUCGAUGCGACGCGAAGAACCUUACCUGGGCUUGACAUGCAGGGUGAAGCCGGUGAAAGCCGGAGCUCUACGGAGCCUGCACAGGUGGUGCAUGGCUGUCGUCAGCUCGUGCCGUGAGGUGUUGCCUUAAGUGGCGCAACGAGCGCAACCCUUGUCCUCAGUUGCCAGCGGGUCAUGCCGGGAACUCUGAGGAGACUGCCGGUGCCAAACCGGAGGAAGGUGGGGAUGACGUCAAGUCAUCAUGCCCCUUAUGUCCAGGGCUGCACGCAUGCUACAAUGCGCGAUACAGAGGGCUGCGAUCCCGCAAGGGGGAGCGAAUCCCAAAAAGUCGCGCUCAGUUCGGAUCGGGGUCUGCAACCCGACCCCGUGAAGUCGGAGUCGCUAGUAAUCGCGGAUCAGCAAUGCCGCGGUGAUACGUUCCCGGGCAUUGCACACAC
rnacentral:rRNA from 1 species